UGACGCUCUUGGAAACGGAAAACAUGUAACCAACUUUUUAAAUAAAAAAACAUAUUUUUUUGAGACCUCUUUAGAGUUUAGAAUUUAGCUCUCUUUGAGAAAAUAGACCACUUCUUAUUACUUGAGGAUCUUUGAAGAUUCUCAAAGAUCGAAAUCUGGACUGGAGGAUGAUUCGCAGAAAAUUGAAAGUGGUCGUAAGAGCCACAGGCAUGCAAGUUUUGGGAGAGUUGCAAGUGAAGAACCUUCAGCCGAUAUCUAAUUCUACCAUCUUUGGAAUUAUUUCGGGGCGAAAUGAGCUUAGGGAGUGGGCAGUGUAACGGUAUUGGCAACGCCGUAAAUGCCAGCUGUUCUCCGUCAUUCUGGAAUCACACAAGUGGGUAUACCGCACGACGUUUUUGAAGACGCGUGAAAGGUCAUCCAAUUUUGCGGAAACAUGGUCAGCCAAGUAUAAAAGGACCGGCGUCGUCGUAUUAAUAAUAGUAAAUCAGCUAACCAGCAUUGGUCAAGGAAAUUAAAAGAAACCAGACAUCUGCACAACCUCGCAAUCCAAGAUGAAAAUACCAACAAUAUCAACCUGGUCAAGGUUAUGCUUUAUUAUGAAUUUUCCUUUUAAUAAUUAUUUAAUGUUAUAAAACAAAAUAUCCUAUCCAUGUUUAUGUUCUGUUUUGAUAUAUUAGCAAUAUAAAUCCAUUUGCAAUAAAUAUGGUUAUUUUCUAAGCUGAUCAAAAUUUUAUAAAUAUGCAAAUCUAUAAAACUAGGGUAGAUUUUUCUAUGGAGAUUACCCUUCCUUAUAAGCCCAAACUCUGCUUGCUUUCUAAUUCUAUAACCACUUAUCUAAGACUUUGACAAAUUAAGGAAGCUUUAUUAAAUUAUACCAAAA